rnacentral:rRNA from 1 species
AGUGAACGCUGGCGGUGGGCCUAACACAUGCAAGUCGAACGGCAGCACAGUAAGAGCUUGCUCUUACGGGUGGCGAGUGGCGGACGGGUGAGGAAUAUAUCGGAAUCUACUUUUUCGUGGGGGAUAACGUAGGGAAACUUACGCUAAUACCGCAUACGACCUACGGGUGAAAGCAGGGGAUCUUCGGACCUUGCGCGAUUGAAUGAGCCGAUGUCGGAUUAGCUAGUUGGCGGGGUAAAGGCCCACCAAGGCGACGAUCCGUAGCUGGUCUGAGAGGAUGAUCAGCCACACUGGAACUGAGACACGGUCCAGACUCCUACGGGAGGCAGCAGUGGGGAAUAUUGGACAAUGGGCGCAAGCCUGAUCCAGCCAUACCGCGUGGGUGAAGAAGGCCUUCGGGUUGUAAAGCCCUUUUGUUGGGAAAGAAAAGCAGCAGGUUAAUACCCCGCUGUUCUGACGGUACCCAAAGAAUAAGCACCGGCUAACUUCGUG